rnacentral:rRNA from 1 species
CCUACGGGAGGCAGCAGUGAGGAAUAUUGGUCAAUGGGCGCGAGCCUGAACCAGCCAAGUAGCGUGAAGGAUGACUGCCCUAUGGGUUGUAAACUUCUUUUAUAAAGGAAUAAAGUGAGGCACGUGUGGCUUUUUGUAUGUAUCUUAUGAAUAAGGAUCGGCUAACUCCGUGCCAGCAGCCGCGGUAAUACGGAGGAUCCGAGCGUUAUCCGGAUUUAUUGGGUUUAAAGGGAGCGUAGGUGGGUUGUUAAGUCAGUUGUGAAAGUUUGCGGCUCAACCGUAAAAUUGCAAUUGAUACUGGCAGUCUUGAGUACAGUAGAGGUAGGCGGAAUUCGUGGUGUAGCGGUGAAAUGCUUAGAUAUCACGAAGAACUCCGAUUGCGAAGGCAGCCUACUAGACUGCCACUGACAUUGAUGCUCGAAAGUGUGGGUAUCAAACAGGAUUAGAUACCCUGGUAGUC